AAACUGAAGAGUUUGAUCCUGGCUCAGAUUGAACGCUAGCGGGAUGCCUUACACAUGCAAGUCGAACGGCAGCACGGACUUCGGUCUGGUGGCGAGUGGCGAACGGGUGAGUAAUGUAUCGGAACGUGCCUAGUAGCGGGGGAUAACUACGCGAAAGCGUAGCUAAUACCGCAUACGCCCUACGGGGGAAAGCAGGGGAUCGCAAGACCUUGCACUAUUAGAGCGGCCGAUAUCGGAUUAGCUAGUUGGUGGGGUAACGGCUCACCAAGGCAACGAUCCGUAGCUGGUUUGAGAGGACGACCAGCCACACUGGGACUGAGACACGGCCCAGACUCCUACGGGAGGCAGCAGUGGGGAAUUUUGGACAAUGGGGGAAACCCUGAUCCAGCCAUCCCGCGUGUGCGAUGAAGGCCUUCGGGUUGUAAAGCACUUUUGGCAGGAAAGAAACGUCAUGG
rnacentral:ncRNA from 1 species